rnacentral:sRNA from 2 species
UUAUAUUCCCCACCGGGGGGGAUGAGAACCCCCGACCGGGGUUCGACAACUGGCAACGCCAGUUGGACAGACCGCGAGCCUGCGAGCGGGCUGCCCCGCAGGGGCGAGCGAAGCGAGUCAAUCCCCCCCUCACCGCCA